rnacentral:rRNA from 1 species
ACUCCUACGGGAGGCAGCAGUGAGGAAUAUUGGACAAUGGGCGGGAGCCUGAUCCAGCCAUGCCGCGUGCAGGAAGACUGCCCUAUGGGUUGUAAACUGCUUUUAUACGGGAAGAAACACUCCCUCGUGAGGGAAUUUGACGGUACCGUAAGAAUAAGGAUCGGCUAACUCCGUGCCAGCAGCCGCGGUAAUACGGAGGAUCCAAGCGUUAUCCGGAAUCAUUGGGUUUAAAGGUCCGUAGGCGGAUUAAUAAGUCAGUGGUGAAAUCCCAUCGCUUAACGAUGGAACUGCCAUUGAUACUGUUAGUCUUGAAUGAGGGUGCAGUGGUUGGAAUGUGUAGUGUAGCGGUGAAAUGCAUAGAUAUUACACAGAACACCGAUUGCGAAGGCAGAUCACUAACCCUAAAUUGACGCUGAGGGACGAAAGCGUGGGGAGCGAACAGGAUUAGAUACCCUGUAGGCUCUG